UACGAGGGGGGCGAGCGUUGUUCGGAAUUAUUGGGCGUAAAGGGUGCGUAGGCGGUUUGGUAAGUCUUGUGUGAAAUCUACAGGCUCAACUUGUAGUCUGCACGAGAAACUGCCGGGCUUGAGUGUGGGAGAGGUGAGUGGAAUUCCUGGUGUAGCGGUGAAAUGCGUAGAUAUCAGGAGGAACACCUGUGGCGAAAGCGGCUCACUGGACCAUAACUGACGCUGAUGCACGAAAGCCAGGGGAGCAAACGGG
rnacentral:rRNA from 1 species